rnacentral:rRNA from 1 species
UGAGGAAUAUUGGUCAAUGGGCGCGAGCCUGAACCAGCCAAGUAGCGUGAAGGAUGAAGGUCCUACGGAUUGUAAACUUCUUUUAUAAGGGAAUAAAGUCACCCACGUGUGGGUGUUUGUAUGUACCUUAUGAAUAAGCAUCGGCUAACUCCGUGCCAGCAGCCGCGGUAAUACGGAGGAUGCGAGCGUUAUCCGGAUUUAUUGGGUUUAAAGGGAGCGUAGACGGGCCGUUAAGUCAGCUGUGAAAGUUUGAGGCUCAACCUUAAAAUUGCAGUUGAUACUGGCGUCCUUGAGUACGGUUGAGGCAGGCGGAAUUCGUGGUGUAGCGGUGAAAUGCUUAGAUAUCACGAAGAACCCCGAUUGCGAAGGCAGCCUGCUAAACCGCCACUGACGUUGAGGCUCGAAAGUGUGGGUAUCAAACAGGAUUAGAUACCCUGGUAGUCCACACGGUAAACGAUGGAUACUCGCUGUUGGCGAUAUACUGCAAGCGGCCAAGCGAAAGCGUUAAGUAUUCCACCUGGGGAGUACGCCGGCAACGGUGAAACUCAAAGGAAUUGACGGGGGCCCGCACAAGCGGAGGAACAUGUGGUUUAAUUCGAUGAUACGCGAGGAACCUUACCCGGGCUUAAAUUGCAGAUGAAUUACGGUGAAAGCCGUAAGCCGCAAGGCAUCUGUGAAGGUGCUGCAUGGUUGUCGUCAGCUCGUGCCGUGAGGUGUCGGCUUAAGUGCCAUAACGAGCGCAACCCUUGUUGUCAGUUACUAACAGGUUCCGCUGAGGACUCUGACAAGACUGCCAUCGUAAGAUGUGAGGAAGGUGGGGAUGACGUCAAAUCAGCACGGCCCUUACGUCCGGGGCUACACACGUGUUACAAUGGGGGGUACAGAGGGCCGCUACCACGCGAGUGGAUGCCAAUCCCCAAAACCUCUCUCAGUUCGGACUGGAGUCUGCAACCCGACUCCACGAAGCUGGAUUCGCUAGUAAUCGCGCAUCAGCCACGGCGCGGUGAAUACGUUCCC